rnacentral:rRNA from 1 species
CCUACGGGAGGCAGCAGUGGGGGAUAUUGCACAAUGGGGGAAACCCUGAUGCAGCGACGCCGCGUGUGGGAAGACGGUCCUCUGGAUUGUAAACCACUGUCCCCAGGGACGAAGAUGACGGUACCUGGGGAGGAAGCUCCGGCAAACUACGUGCCAGCAGCCGCGGUAAUACGUAGGGAGCGAGCGUUGUCCGGAAUUACUGGGUGAAAGGGGAGCGUAGGGGGGGAUGGAAGUUGGGUGUCAAAACUACCGGCUCAACUGGUAGUCGCACUCAAAACUGCAGCUCUUGAGUGAAGUAGAGGCAGGCGGAAUUCCUGGUGUAGCGGUGAAAUGCGUAGAUAUUAGGAGGAACACCAGUGGCGAAGGCGGCCUGCUGCGCUUUUACUGACGCUGAGGCUCGAAGGUGUGGGGAGCGAACAGGAUUAGAUACCCUGGUAGUC